rnacentral:misc_RNA from 1 species
UCUCCCGUGAGGGAGCAGUCUCGCCUGACACUUAUAACAGGCAACGGGGGUUGCGUUCGUUUCCCCACUUAAGGGAACAACUCAAGCCACGAACUGACGACGGCCAUGCAUCACCUGCCAUACACCCUCGAAGGCUUCCCCGCUUUCACGGGGCGUGCAGUAUGGUUUCUAGCCUUGGUAAGGUUCCUCGCUUAGCGACGAAUUAAGCCUCAUGAUCCACCGCUUGUGCGAGCCCCCGUCUAUUCCUUUGAGUUUUAAUCUUGCGAUCGUACUUCCCAGGCGGCCCGCUUAACGCGUUAGCUUCGCCUCAGAGAGGGUCGAUACUCCCUAAAGCUAGCGGGCAACGUUUAGGGCGUGGACUAC